AACGAACGCUGGCGGCAUGCCUAACACAUGCAAGUCGAACGAUGCUUUCGGGCAUAGUGGCGCACGGGUGCGUAACGCGUGGGAAUCUGCCCUUGGGUUCGGAAUAACAGUGAGAAAUUGCUGCUAAUACCGGAUGAUGUCUUCGGACCAAAGAUUUAUCGCCCAGGGAUGAGCCCGCGUAGGAUUAGCUAGUUGGUGGGGUAAUGGCCUACCAAGGCGACGAUGCUUAGCUGGUCUGAGAGGAUGAUCAGCUGCACUGGGACUGAGACACGGCCCAGACUCCGACGGGGGGCAGCAGUGGGGAAUAUUGGACAAUGGGCGCAAGCCUGAUCCAGCAAUGCCGCGUGAGUGAUGAAGGCCUUAGGGUUGUAAAGCUCUUUUACCCGGGAUGAUAAUGACGGUACCGGGAGAAUAAGCUCCGGCUAACUCCGUG
rnacentral:rRNA from 1 species